GGGGAAUAUUGCGCAAUGGGGGAAACCCUGACGCAGCAAUACCGCGUGAGUGAAGAAGGUUUUCGGAUCGUAAAGCUCUGUUAUUGGGGAAGAAAAAAAGACGGUACCCAAGAAGAAAGUCCCGGCUAACUACGUGCCAGCAGCCGCGGUAAUACGUAGGGGACAAGCGUUGUCCGGAUUUACUGGGCGUAAAGGGCACGCAGGCGGUUUUUUAAGUCAGAUGUGAAAGGUACCGGCUCAACCGGUGACAUGCAUUUGAAACUGAAAGACUUGAGUAUUGGAGAGGCAAGUGGAAUUCCAGGUGUAGGAGUGAAAUCCGUAGAUAUCUGGAGGAACAUCAGUGGCGAAGGCGGCCACCUGGACCGGUAUUGACGCUGAGGUGCGAAAGCGUGGGGAGCAAACA
rnacentral:rRNA from 1 species